rnacentral:rRNA from 1 species
CAGUAGCCGCGGUAACACGGAGGGGGCUAGCGUUGUUCGGAAUUACUGGGCGUAAAGCGCACGUAGGCGGCUUUGCAAGUCAGAGGUGAAAGCCCGGGGCUCAACUCCGGAAUAGCCUUUGAGACUGCAUCGCUUGAACACGGGAGAGGUGAGUGGAAUUCCGAGUGUAGAGGUGAAAUUCGUAGAUAUUCGGAAGAACACCAGUGGCGAAGGCGGCUCACUGGACCGUUGUUGACGCUGAGGUGCGAAAGCGUGGGGAGCAAACAGGAUUAGAUACCCGGGUAGUCCCUGUCUCUUAUAC